UCUCCUGUGUCCCGGUCUGAGGUCCUGCAGACUCUUGGGUACCUACCACCUCCGGCAUUCUAAAUUGCCUAUUAAUAAAAUGCUUUUCAUAUAAUUAAAAAUGUUUUAUUUUAGUGGCGUGGCUCUCGAUAUUGAAAAUGUUUCUCACACCAGCCAAUAACCCAUCGAUUUCUCACUCGCUAAUGAUAUUUGAAGGAAGUUUUAAAAAUUAUAUUAGCCACUUGUAGGCGGAAAAAAAGAAACCCUAUUCAUAUUGCAGUAUUAAUAGCUGCUAUGGGAGAAUCAUUCUGUUAAUUUAAUGUGCCUGUAAAUCCUGCCCCAGAUUGUUAGCUCUUCAUUUUCUGGGAUUAGAAGAGGAUUAAGUUACAGGCCAGGUAGGUAACCUGGAUAUAGCUUCACUGACGCUUUGAUGGGGACCUUUCUUUUUUUCCACUUUGGUAUUGCUGAAUCUCAGAUGGUGUGGAGAGAAAAAUCAUCACUGGGAAGUUCUUGCUUUAAAAAAAAAAUAACAAAAAAAUUAUCUCUGUGUGUGAGAAUAAAAGUGUGUGUCACGACACACUUUGGGGUGGUGAGGUGAAAGGGGAGCCUCAAGUGCCAGCCUUCACCUUCCACGUCCUUUGAGACAGGAAUUCUUGUUCUUCACUGCUGCGUAUACCAGGCUGGCUGGCCAGUGAGCUUCAGUGGCUUCUCCUUUGGCUUCCUCCCAUUUCCCCCUAAAAUGCUGGGAUUCCAGAGGUACACUCCCACAUCGAGUCUGAUGAAGGUCCUGAGGAUCCGAACUCGGGUCCUCACACCUGCAUGGCAAACACCCUGACCCAUCCGUUAACCACCCCCGCCACUCCCCCAGGUCCAUGCACUUGCUUUCUGGAAAAGUAGGUUUAUGAAGCUGAGCUCACAGCACAUUUUCCCUGGCUGUGCCUUAGAGGAUAAGACAAACCCUCCUCGGAGGCUUGGUGGCCCACGGGGUUCCCAGGAGCUGUCUGUGACGGGCGUGAUACACCCAGCUUGUCCUCGAGCUGAGGUUGUCAGUCGGACCAGAGAAGAAAAUUUCCACCUGUGUGUUCACUGGGCGGUUAAACAGUAACCCUGCUCUCCUGGCUCUCUAAGCACAGGCGAGCUCCCAGCCAAGGCCUGUAUAGCUUUCCUCACUCCAACUCUGCCUAUUAUCUUGACCUUAAAGUUUACGGGGUAAAAGAAACAUUUAUGGAACAGUUAAGGCCAGUUAGAACAUAACGACUCACCUCAUUAUCACACCCCACAAAUCUCCCCUUUACGGGGUUCCCUCCCCUGUCAGCUCCAACCACGAGCUUGGCCUGGGCACAGUUGCUGGGGCUCACACGUGGAAACACCAGGAACGUCUCAUUCCUGACUUCAAAUGUGCCAAAAACAAGAAUCCUUAAGAACUCAUAAAGUCAUUUAGCACCACAUUAAUAAUAGACGCAUGAUAUUGAAUUAUGUUGGUAAGUAUGUGUUUGAGCCGGUAACAAUUAUUUUUGGCUGGCAGUUCAGAUAUUUAAUCCACUUAAUAAAUAAACAGCGCCCGCAAAUCAACAAGUGAGAGUGGAAGGGGGGAGGGGCAAUGAUAAAAAUGUCAAAGGUCAUAUAAACAAAAAACAGUAUUUAGAAACAUUAAAGUUUGUAAUUAGAGAAGAGAUGACCAAGAACAAAAACUUUAUUGUACUUUUGAAGACAUGGAUUUUUCUUAUGACAAAGUAAAACACACAGUGGGUAGAGAAAAACUGUAGAAUUUAAGUGGACAGGGCCUUGAGACAUAGCUCAACUUGGUCUUAAGUUCAUACUCCUGCCUCAGCCUCCUGAGUGCUAGGAUUACAAGCAUGGGAUACCACACCCUGCUUCUGUGAAAUGUUUUAAAAAUGUUUCCUUUUUAGGAUGAUUAUAUAUAGAGACAUACCCGAGGGGAAUAAAACAACUUAAGGCAACUCAACUCAAUUUAACAGUUGAGUUCCAUUAUAGCAACCUCACAGGUAAAAUACCAUGCAUUUCACAAAAGCCCUAAGAAAGCCAUUGCAAGACAAGGGAGAUGUUAUGUUAAUUUUGUAUAUUGUUAUAAUGUGUGCGUGUGGAUGAGUGGACAUAUAUAACUUGAAGUUACCUGUUUGAUAUACAUACAUAUAUAAUGCAAAGUUAGCAUUUGGUGAAUCUGACAGCUGGUUCCAAAGGUCUUAGCCAGUUUUUAAGGCUUUGGGGGUACAGAUGAGAAUGAAACAAGCCUGUACUCCAGUGAGCUAGUUUUAUGUCACCUUGACACAAGCUAAAGUCAUCAAAGAGGAAGGAACCCCAGUUGAGAAAAUACCUCCGUAAGAUUGGGCUGUAUGGCAAACAUUUUCUUAAUUAGUGAUUGAUGUGGGCGGGCCCAGCCCAUUAUGGGUGGGGCCACCCCGGGCUGGUGGUCCUGAGUUCUAUAGGAAAACAGUCUGAGCAAUUGUGGAGUGCUGAUCCAAGGUUCCUUCUAGUUCUUUCCUGUCACCCAUUUCAGCCUUUUCCUCUAGUCUAUCUCCAUUCCUUUGUGCCUUCCCCAACCCCCACCCCAAACAUUCUCUACCUGAGAGCCCAUGCUUGGCACGAUCAUGAGUGAACAACAGCAACCAAAAAGUGGAAUAUCUCCCUAACAAAGAUGAGACUAGACAUAUAUGCUGAGGAGCACAUUAAUCAUCAGAACUCCAGAUGCCUAGAUCCCAGCCAAAAAACACAAUCUGGAACAGCCAAGACACUCUGCCUCCUCUAGAAACCAAUAGCCAUAGUGCCAUAGGCCCUGAGAAUUACAGUGUACCUGAAGCAUAAUGCAAGGACUUAACAAUAGCAAUUAUGAACAUGUUUAAGGACCUUAAAGAGGAUGUGAGUAUAUUCCUUACCAAAGGCUGAAAACCCAAACAGUUGAAUGAAAUGAGGCAAACAAUUCAAACAAAGAAAUAGACUCACUGAAGAAAACUCAAACUGAGUUAAAACUGGAAAUAAAAAACUCAGGAUGUCAAACAAAAACUUCAGAGAUAAGCCUCACCAACAGAUUAACAGACAAGGGAGAGAGAAUUUCAUGUCUCGAAGACAAAGUAAAAGAAAUAGAUUGCUCAGUCAAAGAAAAUGUUAAAUCUAAAAUUAUCCAGGCAUAAAACACGUAUAAAAUCUGGGGCACUAUGAAAAGACCAAAUCUAUGAGUAAUAGGUAUAGAGGAAGGAGAAUAUACUGAGGUCAAGGCACAGAAAAUAUUUUUAACAAAAUCCUAGAAGAAAAAAUUUUCCAAUGUAAAGAAAGAGGUGCUUGUCAAAGUACAAGAAGCAGAUAGAACACCAAAUAGACAGGACCAGG
rnacentral:lncRNA from 1 species